GACGAACGCUGGCGGCGUGCUUAACACAUGCAAGUCGAACGGAAAGGCCCUGCUUUUGUGGGGUGCUCGAGUGGCGAACGGGUGAGUAACACGUGUGUAACCUGCCCUUGUCUUUGGGAUAACUUCAGGAAACUGGGGCUAAUACCGGAUAGGAGCUCCUGCUGCAUGGUGGGGGUUGGAAAGUUUCGGCGGUUGGGGAUGGACUCGCGGCUUAUCAGCUUGUUGGUGGGGUAGUGGCUUACCAAGGCUUUGACGGGUAGCCGGCCUGAGAGGGUGACCGGCCACAUUGGGACUGAGAGACGGCGCAGACUCCUACGGGAGGCAGCAGUGGGGAAUAUGGCGCAGUGGGCGGGAGCCUGAGGCAGCAACGCCGCGUGCGGGAUGACGGCCUUCGGGUUGUAAACCGCUUUCGCCUGUGACGAAGCGUGAGUGACGGUAAUGGGUAAAGAAGCACCGGCUAACUACGUG
rnacentral:rRNA from 1 species